GAUGAACGCUGGCGGCGUGCCUAAUACAUGCCAGUCGAGCGAACAGAUAAGGAGCUUGCUCCUUUGACGUUAGCGGCGGACGGGUGAGUAACACGUGUGUAACCUACCUAUAAGACUGGGAUAACUUCGGGAAACCGGAGCUAAUACCGGAUAACAUUUGGAACCGCAUGGUUCUAAAGUGAAAGAUGGUUUUGCUAUCACUUAUAGAUGGACCCGCGCCGUAUUAGCUAGUUGGUAGGGUAACGGCUUACCAAGGCAACGAUACGUAGCCGACCUGAGAGGGUGAUAGGCCACACUGGAACUGAGACACGGUCCAGACUACUACGGGAGGCAGCAGUAGGGAAUCUUCCGCAAUGGGCGAAAGCCUGACGGAGCAACGCCGCGUGAGUGAUGAAGGGUUUCGGCUCGUAAAACUCUGUUAUUAGGGAAGAACAAAUGUGUAAGUAACUGUGCACGUCUUGACGGUACCUAAUCAGAAAGCCACGGCUAACUACGUG
rnacentral:rRNA from 1 species